rnacentral:tRNA from 1 species
ACCUCGUUAGCUCAGUCGGUAGAGCAUGUGACUCAAUCUCAGGGUCGUGAGUUCAAGCCCCAUAUUGGGCG